UUUGAAAAUAAGGACUUUGAGGUUGAUGAAUUCUCAAACAAAUACCUGGCUUUGCACCCAAUGCCAUCAACAACAAAAAAAGGCAUCUCUGCUGGAGGAGCAUUUUGAAGUUGUUGAAGAAGAGGUUGAAAAGGCUAUUGCUGGUUCUGA